AUGCCAUAAUUAGGACACUUUCGCAAUAACUCCUUGAACUGCUCCCAUGGCUCAUAUAGAGAUUCUUCAUCAAGUUGAUAAAAUAAGGUAAUUUCAUUACAAAGCCU